rnacentral:rRNA from 1 species
UCUACGGAAGGCAGCAGGCGCGCAAAUUACCCACUCCUAGAACGGGGAGGUAGUGACGAAAAAUAACAAUACCGGACUCUAUGAGGCUCGGUAAUUGAAAUGAGUACAGUUUAAAACCCUUAACGAGGAUCUAUUGGAGGGCAAGUCUGGUGCCUGCAGCCGCGGUAAUUCCAGCUCCAAUAGCGUAUAUUAAAGUUGUUGCAGUUAAAAAGCUCGUAGUUGGAUCUCAGGCACUAGCAUGUGGUACGCUUAACUGCUGUUACUACAUGUCUGGUCCUAAUCAAUCGGUUGGCCGUUGAUGCCCUUUAUUGGGUGUUUUCGGUAGCCGAUACGUUUACCUUGAGAAAAUUAGAGUGCUUAAAGCAGGCUAUACGCCUGAAUAAUGUUGCAUGGAAUAAUAGAAUAGGACCUCGGUUCUAUUUUGUUGGUUUUGUAGAGCAUUGAGGUAAUGAUUAAUAGGGACAGACGGGGGCAUUCGUAUUGCGGUGUUAGAGGUGAAAUUCUUGGAUCGCCGCAAGACGAACAACUGCGAAAGCAUUUGCCAAGAAUGUUUUCAUUAAUCAAGAACGAAAGUUGGAGGUUCGAAGACGAUUAGAUACCGUCCUAGUUCCAACCAUAAACGAUGCCAACUAGCGAUUAGCUGCUGUUAAUUAAACGACACAGCUAGCAGCUUCCGGGAAACCAAAGUUUUUGGGUUCCGGGGGAAGUAUGGUUGCAAAGCUGAAACUUAAAGGAAUUGACGGAAGGGCACCACCAGGAGUGGAGCCUGCGGCUUAAUUUGACACAACACGGGAAAUCUCACCCGGCCCGGACACUGUAAGGAUUGACAGAUUGAGAGCUCUUUCUUGAUUCGGUGGGUGGUGGUGCAUGGCCGUUCUUAGUUGGUGGAGCGAUUUGUCUGGUUAAUUCCGAUAACGAACGAGACUCUAGCCUGCUAAAUAGUACGCCAAUCUCUAGUCGGCGCGUACUUCUUAGAGGGACAAGUAGCGGUUAGCUACACGAAAUUGAGCAAUAACAGGUCUGUGAUGCCCUUAGAUGUUCGGGGCCGCACGCGCGCUACACUGAAGGGAUAAGCGUGUUCUUCCUGUUCCGAAAGGAAUGGGUAAUCCGCCGAAACCCCUUCGUGAUUGGGAUCGGGGCUUGAAAUUAUUCUCCGUGAACGAGGAAUUCCUAGUAAGCGCGAGUCACUAGCUUGCGUUGAUUACGUCCCUGCCCUUUGUACACACCGCCCGUCGCUACUACCGAUUGAAUGGUUUAGUGAGAUCUUCGGAUUGGUCCGGAGGUGCCGCAAGGUUGCCUCUAGGUUCCGAGAAGAUGAUCAAACUUGAUCAUUUAGAGGAAGUAAAAGUC